GACGAACGCUGGCGGCGUGCCUAAUACAUGCAAGUCGAGCGAAGUCACACUGGUGCUUGCCCCGUAAAAAUUUCGCGGCGAACGGGUGUGUAACACGUAAAGAACCCGCCUCAUAGGCUGGGACAACCAUUGGAAACGAUAGCCAAUACCGGAUUACAGCAUUAACUGCAUGGCUGAUGUUUAAAAGUUGUUUUUGCUAACACUAUGAGAUUGCUUUGCGGUGCAUUAGCUAGUUGGUGGGGUAAAGGCCUACCAAGGCGACGAUGCGUAGCCGACCUGAGAGGGUGAUCGGCCACACUGGAACUGAGACACGGUCCAGACUCCUACGGGAGGCAGCAGUAGGGAAUCUUGCGCAAUGGGCGAAAGCCUGACGGAGCAACGCCGCGUGAGUGAAGAAGGCUUUCGGUUCGUAAAGCUCUGUUGUUAGGGAAGAAAAGUUGUGUAGUAAUACUACGCUGUAGUGACGGUACCUAAACAGAAAGCAACGGCUAACUACGUG
rnacentral:rRNA from 1 species